rnacentral:rRNA from 1 species
CAAUAGCGUAUAUUGAAGUUGUUGCAGUUAAAAAGCUCGUAGUUGGAUUUCUGGUGGGAGCGAUCGGUCUGGCGCUUAGCGCGAGUACUUGCAUCGUCUCCGGCCAUCCUUGGGGAAAGUCUGUCUGGCAUUAAGUUGUCGGGCAGAGGAUCCUCAUCGUUUACUGUGAAAAAAUUAGAGUGUUCAAAGCAGGCUUAUGCCGUUGAAUAUAUUAGCAUGGAAUAAUAAGAUAGGACUUUGGUACUAUUUUGUUGGUUUGCGCACCAAAGUAAUGAUUAAUAGGGACAGUUGGGGGUAUUCGUAUUCCGUUGUCAGAGGUGAAAUUCUUGGAUUUACGGAAGACGAACUACUGCGAAAGCAUUUACCAAGGAUGUUUUCAUUGA